rnacentral:rRNA from 1 species
CUACGGGUGGCAGCAGUGGGGAAUAUUGCACAAUGGGCGCAAGCCUGAUGCAGCCAUGCCGCGUGUAUGAAGAAGGCCUUCGGGUUGUAAAGUACUUUCAGCGGGGAGGAAGGGAGUAAAGUUAAUACCUUUGCUCAUUGACGUUACCCGCAGAAGAAGCACCGGCUAACUCUGUGCCAGCAGCCGCGGUAAUACGGAGUGUGCAAGCGUUAAUCGGAAUUACUGGGCGUAAAGCGCACGCAGGCGGUUUGUUAAGUCAGAUGUGAAAUCCCCGGGCUCAACCUGGGAACUGCAUCUGAUACUGGCAAGCUUGAGUCUCGUAGAGGGGGGUAGAAUUCCAGGUGUAGCGGUGAAAUGCGUAGAGAUCUGGAGGAAUACCGGUGGCGAAGGCGGCCCCCUGGACGAAGACUGACGCUCAGGUGCGAAAGCGUGGGGAGCAAACAGGAUUAGAUACCCGCGUAGUC